GUCUACAGCCAUGCCACCCUGAAUGUGCCUGAUCUCGUCUGAUCUCAGAAGCUAAGCGGGGUUGGGCCUGGUUAGUACUUGGAUGGGAAAUCACCUAAGAAUACCAGGUACUGUUGGCA
rnacentral:rRNA from 1 species